AACAUGGUAAAACCCAGUAUCUACUAAAAAUACAAAAAAUUAGCUGGGCAUGGUAACAGGCACCUGUAAUCCCAGCUAUCCAAGAGGCUGAGGCAGGAGAAUUGCUUGAACCUGGGAGACAUAGGUUGCCUUGAGCCGAGAUCACUCCACUGCACUCCAGCCUGGGCAACAGAGCAAGACUCCAUCUCAAAAAAAUUUUUUAAAAAAAGGUUGUAGAAUUGUAGAAUGCCAGGCACAACCCCCACUCUCAUAGGAAACCUUUGACUUGAGUAGCAUUUGAGUGUGGUAUUGAAAAAAAAAUGCUGGCAGAAUAAAGUUGAGUAUGCAUGUUACAGGAGUGGAGACUAAAUGAAUCAGAAGAGAAUUUCUGGAACAGGCAGGACAGGAUCAGAGAAUGGGGAUUAGGCCAGUUGAGCUGAGCACAACAGCCUAGGGGGAUCUAAAGCUAGAAAGGAGGCCAGAGAGAAUACAUUCUGCCUUAAAAGGCAGGCAGGCAUUGCAGGAAGUUUUGGAGCAGAGACAAAAUGGCUGAGGGUGUUUCAUACCCACAGUGGUGUAACUUAGACACAGAACCAUUAGGAACCUCUCACUAUGGAGGUGGCUGUGAGGGAGAAGAGGAGAAACACAUGAGCCUUGUCUAUUUUAUUAUUUUUCUAUCCUAUUCCUAUU